CGUGCUAUACAUGCAGUCGAGCGAACAGAUGAGAAGCUUGCUUCUCUGAUGUUAGCGGCGGACGGGUGAGUAACACGUGGGUAACCUACCUAUAAGACUGGGAUAACUCCGGGAAACCGGGGCUAAUACCGGAUAAUAUUUUGAACCGCAUGGUUCAAUAGUGAAAGACGGUUUCGGCUGUCACUUAUAGAUGGACCCGCGCCGUAUUAGCUAGUUGGUAAGGUAAUGGCUUACCAAGGCGACGAUACGUAGCCGACCUGAGAGGGUGAUCGGCCACACUGGAACUGAGACACGGUCCAGACUCCUACGGGAGGCAGCAGUAGGGAAUCUUCCGCAAUGGGCGAAAGCCUGACGGAGCAACGCCGCGUGAGUGAUGAAGGUCUUCGGAUCGUAAAACUCUGUUGUUAGGGAAGAACAAAUUUGUUAGUAACUGAACAAGUCUUGACGGUACCUAACCAGAAAGCCACGGCUAACUACGUGCCAGCAGCCGCGGUAAUACGUAGGUGGCAAGCGUUAUCCGGAAUUAUUGGGCGUAAAGCGCGCGUAGGCGGUUUCUUAAGUCUGAUGUGAAAGCCCACGGCUCAACCGUGGAGGGUCAUUGGAAACUGGGAAACUUGAGUGCAGAAGAGGAGAGUGGAAUUCCAUGUGUAGCGGUGAAAUGCGCAGAGAUAUGGAGGAACACCAGUGGCGAAGGCGGCUCUCUGGUCUGUAACUGACGCUGAUGUGCGAAAGCGUGGGGAUCAAACAGGAUUAGAUACCCUGGUAGUCCACGCCGUAAACGAUGAGUGCUAAGUGUUAGGGGGUUUCCGCCCCUUAGUGCUGCAGCUAACGCAUUAAGCACUCCGCCUGGGGAGUACGACCGCAAGGUUGAAACUCAAAGGAAUUGACGGGGACCCGCACAAGCGGUGGAGCAUGUGGUUUAAUUCGAAGCAACGCGAAGAACCUUACCAAAUCUUGACAUCCUUUGACCGCUCUAGAGAUAGAGUCUUCCCCUUCGGGGGACAAAGUGACAGGUGGUGCAUGGUUGUCGUCAGCUCGUGUCGUGAGAUGUUGGGUUAAGUCCCGCAACGAGCGCAACCCUUAAGCUUAGUUGCCAUCAUUAAGUUGGGCACUCUAGGUUGACUGCCGGUGACAAACCGGAGGAAGGUGGGGAUGACGUCAAAUCAUCAUGCCCCUUAUGAUUUGGGCUACACACGUGCUACAAUGGAUAAUACAAAGGGCAGCGAAUCCGCGAGGCCAAGCAAAUCCCAUAAAAUUAUUCUCAGUUCGGAUUGUAGUCUGCAACUCGACUACAUGAAGCUGGAAUCGCUAGUAAUCGUAGAUCAGCAUGCUACGGUGAAUACGUUCCCGGGUCUUGUACACACCGCCCGUCACACCACGAGAGUUUGUAACACCCGAAGCCGGUGGAGUAACCUUUUAGGAGCUAGCCGUCGAAGUGAUCA
rnacentral:rRNA from 2 species